rnacentral:rRNA from 1 species
UGAGGAAUAUUGGACAAUGGGUGAAAGCCUGAUCCAGCCAUCCCGCGUGAAGGAAUAAGGACCUAUGGUUUGUAAACUUCUUUUCUACAGGGAUAAACCUACCCACGUGUGGGUAGCUGAAGGUACUGUAGGAAUAAGCACCGGCUAACUCCGUGCCAGCAGCCGCGGUAAUACGGAGGGUGCAAGCGUUAUCCGGAUUUAUUGGGUUUAAAGGGUCCGUAGGCGGACUCGUAAGUCAGUGGUGAAAUCUUGUCGCUUAACGAUAAAACUGCCAUUGAUACUGCGAGUCUUGAGUAUAGUUGAGGUAGCUGGAAUAAGUAGUGUAGCGGUGAAAUGCAUAGAUAUUACUUAGAACACCAAUUGCGAAGGCAGGUUACCAAGUUAUAACUGACGCUGAGGG